UGGUAGAUGCACCCUGAUAAUUAACCACCCCUAGUUGGAAGCUUUCCACUAGGGGUUUUUUGU
rnacentral:sRNA from 1 species